rnacentral:lncRNA from 1 species
CCUCUGAAAGACCAAAAAAAUAAAUCUGAUAAGAGAAGACAUUACAGAAUAGAUCUUGCUGGCUAAACCUCUCACAAAUGAUCUUUUGAUGGCUUCUGAAUUCUUCCAAGGUCUAUGUCAUGGGCAGGCAACUUAUGACAUUGGUUUCCUCUUGCUGGAGUAAGGGCAGGAGGAUGGAGAUGAGCACUAAAGUCCAAAGAGGUGAAGCCAUGUGACCAGGAUCACUCAGCUGAUAAAUGGUGCACCCCAAAGCAGCUGGCUCUGGAGCCCACGCGGGAGUCCACCAGAUUGGACCCGAUGGCUCACCUGAAUGGAGAACUUCGUAGAAGAGUCCUUCAGGAGAGAACCACUUGGAGCAGACCUCCAUGUCUCCACUCAUAAAAUGCAUCUUGACGGUUCUUAAGAUCCUGCCGCAGCACCUGUCCCCCACUCCUACAGCCCUAUUCCUCAAAGCCACACAUUCUGUUCCUUCAGUCCUCAGGGGCACGGGCACCUGCUUCACCUCCCCAACCUGCUUGGAAAUCCCUUCAGCUAGGGACCCGUUCACCUACUUAUUUCCCUCCCACCCCAGUGCCCAGCCAACAGUGAUGAACUCUGCAAACCUUUACUCCACAUGAGGAAGCUGAAGUUUGAGAAGGAGACCCCCUAGUAUCAGCUUUCUCCAUGCCGUCCUGUCCUCUUGCCUGCUUCACCCCUAAGAGCCACAAUCUCCAAUUCUGCAAGGAUUUGUGGAGAUGGAGUGAGCUGAAAACCGAGCCAAGUCAGAGAAGCAGUGUUGAAAGGCACCGUGGAGGUCUCUUGCUCCAUCACUCACUGAGCAGAUGUCAACUGAGCACUUGCAGAAUGCCAAGCAAUUCUGGAACCCUGGUGGAGGGUCA